GUUUGCACUUGUCGGGGAAGCGUGAGAACCUUCGAUUAAGGUUCGACUCGAGCGAAAGCGAGAGAACGUUGCCAACGGCAACGGCCCGUAGGGUGAGGAGCGAAGCGACGAAUAAUCCUUCCCCCACCACCA
rnacentral:sRNA from 1 species